rnacentral:rRNA from 1 species
UACGUAGGGGGCAAGCGUUAUUCGGAAUUAUUGGGCGUAAAGAGCGUGUAGGUGGUUUGAUAAGUCUGAUGUGAAAGCCCUGGACUCAACCCAGGAAGUGCAUUGGAUACUGUCAGACUAGAGUGCAGGAGAGGAAAGCGGAAUUCCAGGUGUAGAGGUGAAAUUCGUAGAUAUCUGGAGGAACAACAGAGGCGAAGGCGGCUUUCUGGACUGUUACUGACACUAAGGCGCGAAAGCGUGGGGAGCAAACAGG